AGAGUUGAUCCUGGCUCAGGAUGAACGCUAGCGGCAGGCUUAACACAUGCAAGUCGAGGGGUAACGAUGGUGCUUGCACCAGGCGACGACCGGCGGACGGGUGAGUAACACGUAUGCAAUUUGCCUUUAACUGGAGGAUAGCUUCGGGAAACCGUAAUUAAUACUCCAUAGUAUUCAAAAGACGCAUGUUUUUUGAAUUAAAGCUCCGGCGGUUAAAGAUAAGCAUGCGGGACAUUAGCUAGUUGGUAAGGUAACGGCUUACCAAGGCGACGAUGUCUAGGGGGUUUGAGAGGAUGAUCCCCCACACUGGUACUGAGACACGGACCAGACUCCUACGGGAGGCAGCAGUGAGGAAUAUUGGGCAAUGGGCGCAAGCCUGACCCAGCCAUGCCGCGUGCAGGAUGAAGGUCCUAUGGAUCGUAAACUGCUUUUGUAUGGGAAGAACUUCCCGCAUUCGUGCGGGAUUGACGGUACUAUACGAAUAAGGACCGGCUAACUCCGUGCCAGCAGCCGCGGUAAUACGGAGGGUCCAAGCGUUAUCCGGAUUCACUGGGUUUAAAGGGUGCGUAGGUGGAACGAUAAGUCGAUGGUGAAAGCCUACAGCUUAACUGUAGAAUUGCCAUUGAUACUGUUGUUCUUGAGUAUAGUCGGGGGAAGUGGAAUGCGUAAUGUAGCGGUGAAAUGCAUAGAUAUUACGCAGAACACCGAUCGCGAAAGCAGCUUCCUAGGCUAUUACUGACACUGAGGCACGAAAGCGUGGGGAGCGAACAGGAUUAGAUACCCUGGUAGUCCACGCCGUAAACGAUGCUCACUCGCUGUUGGCGAUAUAUUGUCAGCAGUUAAGCUAAAGCAUUAAGUGAGCCACCUGGGAAGUACGUCCGCAAGGAUGAAACUUCCAAGGAAUUUGACGGGGGCCCGUACAACCGGCUGGGAACCAUGUGGUUCAAUUCGAUGAUUACGCGAGGAACCUUACCUGGG
rnacentral:rRNA from 1 species